GGAAUUUUGGACAAUGGGGGCAACCCUGAUCCAGCAAUGCCGCGUGAGUGAAGAAGGCCUUCGGGUUGUAAAGCUCUUUUGUCAGGGAAGAAACAGCAGCUCUUAACACAGUCUGCGAAUGACGGUACCUGAAGAAUAAGCACCGGCUAACUACGUGCCAGCAGCCGCGGUAAUACGUAGGGUGCGAGCGUUAAUCGGAAUUACUGGGCGUAAAGCGUGCGCAGGCGGUUAUACAAGACAGGCGUGAAAUCCCCGGGCUUAACCUGGGAAUGGCGUCUGUGACUGUAUAGCUAGAGUGUGUCAGAGGGGGGUGGAAUUCCACGUGUAGCAGUGAAAUGCGUAGAUAUGUGGAGGAACACCAAUGGCGAAGGCAGCCCCCUGGGAUAACACUGACGCUCAUGCACGAAAGCGUGGGGAGCAAACAGGAUUAGAUACCCUGGUAGUCCACGCCCUAAACGAUGCUGACUAGUUGUUGGGAAUUUACAUUCUCAGUAACGUAGCUAACGCGUGAAGUCAGCCGCCUGGGGAGUACGGUCGCAAGAUCAAAACUCAAAUGAAUUGACGG
rnacentral:rRNA from 1 species